rnacentral:snRNA from 1 species
AAUCUCUGAAAACAAGGGA